GCUGUGAUAGCUCAGUUGGUAGAGCAUUGGAUUGAAAAUCCGAGUGUCACUGGUUCGAUUCCAGUUCGCGGCA